rnacentral:tRNA from 1 species
UAUCUUUUAUUUUAUUUAGAAUUUUUGUUUUGUAACCAAAAGGACCGGAGAUAU